rnacentral:lncRNA from 1 species
AUCUGCCACCUCUACCCUGCCACGCAGUCUCACCUUUAGAUUUAAAGAUGAUCAAACUGUUUUCUUGUGGUGCUUAUUCUGCAAACACACCCAUUUGCAUUAUACAAGCCGAAUGCCAUUGCAUUUUCUCCUUUUGUUUCUGCACUUCCCUGUUCCAGCCUAUUUAUUUUUUUAUGGGAUUUUCACCUCUUUCCAACUUCUAAUUUAAAAUGAAUUCAUGCACCUGUCCUUCCAGCAGAGAACUAUUGAGAUAUGUUAACUAAACCCUUAGUUAGAUGAAAGAGUCAUUUUUUGUAUGGCUAUAAACCAUAGUCAAAGAGAAAAAAGUCAACGGGAAGCUUUAACACAGAGUCACCCAGGGUGCCCUUUUUUUCCCCUUAUUCCUGUGGAGAAAAAAUAGGAGAUUUUGGACAGUGACUCAUCAGAUCAAAUGUAGCCAAUCACCUUAAUUGAAAUUAAUUGCACCCAGUCUCCACGGCUUAUAUUGACUCUACAGGAAGUAUCUAAUGAUGGGCUCAGAGGGCUGCAUCGAUAUUUAACCAGGAUGAAAACAGAUUUUCCCCACCCAGACCCCCCUAGGCUGGGCUGGGCGCUGCUACAAGGUCUGCAAAUGAAGCUGGAGGCCAGGACACGAAAUGCCUCACCCAGAGCAGCAGAGAAAGACAAAGAAACCUGAGCAAUGAGGGAGUAAUGAGUGCCAGCCAUUAGGAAAGAGCAUUGUUCCACAUCAGGUGGGUCAGGUUUAAAAUAACUGGUUUCCCCAUGUGUUUCCUGAGAUGGAGAAGGCAUGCUUAGUCUUUGUUGCCGUCUGCUGGAUCUUCCAGUAGCACUCAUGGUUUCUUCUGUCCAGGUCCUGGAGAGAAGACAUUUUCCCAAGUUACUAUGGAGAUGGCUGCGAUGCAGACAGCAAGCACAAGGGAAGGAACAGUAUUUGGAGCAGAUGGAUGCAUACGAGUUGGUUGUACUUCAUCUUUGCAGAACCUCAGAAUUUCUGAAGUUGGAGGCAUCUCUGGAGAUAUCUCAUCGAACCCUCUGCUCAAGCUGGCUGCCCCGGGCUACAUCCAGUCAGGUUUUGAAUAUAUCAUAGGAUGGAGACUUCACAAACUCUCUGAACAACUCAUGUUAAUCGAAAGCUUUUUUCUUAGGUGCAAGUGGAAUUUCCUGUUUUUCAGUUUGUACCCACUGCCUCUUGUUUUGCCUCUUGGCAUUAAAAAGAGCCUGGCCCCAUCUUCUUUGCAUCCUCCCAUCAGCUAUUGGUACAUGUUGAUAAGAUUCCCCUGA